ACAGUGAUUCUAUGAAAGCAAAGUCUUA
rnacentral:piRNA from 1 species